UGAACGCUGGCGGCGUGCCUACUACAUGCAAGUCGAGCGAACAGACGCGGAGCUUGCUCCUCUGACGUUAGCGGCGGACGGGUGAGUAACACGUGGAUAACCUACCUAUAAGACUGGGAUAACUUCGGGAAACCGGAGCUAAUACCGGAUAAUAUAUUGAACCGCAUGGUUCCAUAGUGAAAGACGGUUUUGCUGUCACUUAUAGAUGGAUCCGCGCCGCAUUAGCUAGUUGGUAAGGUAACGGCUUACCAAGGCAACGAUGCGUAGCCGACCUGAGAGGGUGAUCGGCCACACUGGAACUGAGACACGGUCCAGACUCCUACGGGAGGCAGCAGUAGGGAAUCUUCCGCAAUGGGCGAAAGCCUGACGGAGCAACGCCGCGUGAGUGAUGAAGGUCUUCGGAUCGUAAAACUCUGUUAUUAGGGAAGAACAAAUGUGUAAGUAACUAUGCACGUCUUGACGGUACCUAAUCAGAAAGCCACGGCUAACUACGUG
rnacentral:rRNA from 1 species